AAUUGCUCCCUUUGAGGGCCAGGCAAGUUCGGUCAGGAAGAAGAAAGCGAGGCGUGCCCUCUUUUCAAAGAGGGAGCAAGGAGGCAGUUGGCGGUGUUUAAGCGAAGCUCAUCUCCACACAGAUGAGCUGAGAGGUCAAUGAGUUCCUGGGCUGCCACAGAGACUGCCAAGUACAACCAGACACACUCUAUUAGAUGCAUUAUAAAACUGUUGAAACUCUCUCUAUCUUUUUCUCUUGCUCUGUUUCUCUCUCUCAGUGUUGCAUUGAUCAACUCAAAAUGCUUUUGUCUAGGCUUUGUUCAAUAAAGAAA